CAAAGACCAGUGUUACAGACCUGGUCUCUGCCUGUAGUGCUGCAGGGAGAUAAUGCACCCACUAGGAGAUGGGUCCUGAUGGGGAUAUAAGAGCCCCAGCUCUUUCUCUUCUUCUGAUCCUGCUUUCAAGCCGCAUGAGGAGAAUGUCUACCUCUACCACACACUCCAUCACAACAUGCUGCCUUACUGAGGCCCAGAAACUAAGGAGCAGCUGACUGAGGAAGGACGCCUCCAAAACAUUGAAAUAAUUGUUAUUAAGAUCUCAGCAGCAUGAGAAACUUUGGGCUGCAGCACAGAAAAUGAGAAAGGGAGUCUACUCCAGAGCCGCCUGUCUUCAGAACCUCAAGCCUGCUGUGCUGGGAGAGGGAUGUGUUUGAUUCAUCCGGAAGGCACUGCCAGCUUGGACCAGCAGAACUGAAGUAUAAAAUGCCAGGAUGGAAAUAAGGAAGUUGGUUGGAUACCUGCUUCCUAUGAGGAACUAUUCCAGUAUGAAGGCAGCAAUCGUGUUACCUCUUCCCAACCAACAACCAGUGCUAGGAGGGACCAGGCUGGUUCACGAGCACACCUGCUGAAGGAGCCAUGCUGACUGACGGCUGAAGACAGCCUGUGGCUGCUAAUGCACAGCGUCUCCACACGGACAAAAGGUAAAGGCUUCUUCUGUCUACUGUGUACAAGGCAGCAGUAUCACAGUACGAAUCCUACAUUGGUCCAUGGACACAGAAUUCGGUGAGCACAGUCAGCAGAGGGAAAAGUGCACCUUUCAUGCCAAACUGCGCUGGACCCACUCUUUCCAGAAUUGUUACAGAACAGAACACGGUGGCAGGGCAGUUCUCUACCUGAGCAGAGUCAUCUGUGAAAAUCAAGACGUCCUUCCCAGCCUUUACAGUAUGAGCAAAGUCUGCCUCUAAUUACUGUGCCCAGGCCUUUACUCCUUAGUGUCAUCUUGUCCACAGCAUGUGACUGCCAUGUGUUGCCAGGCACUCCUCCCCCGCCCCUGUGCGGAGCCCCUUCCUGAGUGCUAAUUUUAAAAACUUGCCCAGCUUUCCAAUAUGCCUCUAUAUAGUCUGUUUUCAGGAACUAUUUCUGUUCUUGCUUCACACCAUGCCUGGCAGGAUGAAGAGCUGUCUCCUGGUCCCCACUGGUAGAGUGCUGGUCUGCUUUCCUAACUUCCAACUUAACUCUCGCACAAAGUUCUCUCUGCACAUACCCUUUUAAUCCAUUAUCCUUCCUUUACUCCAGAAAGGGGCAAAAAAUACUCGGCAGUGUUGCCAAAUCCUUACUCUGACAGGCAUACCUGGCGACUUAAAAUAGUUGCCGUUUUGAAAAUUGUUUCUGCGGCUAAGCAAAGAGAAGAUGAAGAAGAGAGGGGGAGAGCAACAUUGCCCUUCGUGAAUGGGGAUGGGUUAGAGAAGGGAGAGGCUGUGGGGGAUGAGUCAAGAUGAGACGUACUAGGAGGACCUUCCCAAUUAUCUCGCAGAGCAGAGGGAUCACUAUGCCAGACAGUUCCCACAGGACCCAGUGCUUCUGGCCAGGUUGAUACAAGAUUAAAAAAUGAUUAUGAUGAUGUAAGAGUUUCGUCUUACACAUCCAUGAACUACAACUGUUUACUAACACACACUGGUUGUGGGGAUGGACUCCACACAGACAAUUUAUAAACUGUCCAAAUCCACUCUCAUGUUUAGACACAGCGUUUCCAACUGCCCAGAACUGCCCCAUUUCUAACUGCACUGUUUAAAAUGCAAAAGGGACAGAAACUAGAAAUGCUUCAUAAAUCGCCUGACAAAGUGGCAUUCGCUAUUUCCUACAGGAUAAGAGAAAACCGAACACUAUAGGUAUCUAAGGUCAUUGUCUAACACUACCCAUGCUCAGGGUGGCAUCUAUCUCUCACAGAACACUCCUGCUAUUUUACACAGGAUGCAGGACCUCUACAAGGGACAGGGAGGACAAAGCCGGUACUAGGGACCAGCUCACCAGGUCUUAAUGCCUCAGACCAGAGAGCAGUUGCUCCACAGGGGCUACGAUGACUCCAGGCAAGUUUCCCACAUCCUUCCUAUGCUAUGGGGCUAUUGACUGAAGUCCUGAGAAAACCUUUGCGGCAACACCCUGACAUUGAACUCUACAGUCAGAUCUCUGAAAAGGGCAACGCAUAGUUGGGCUGGGGGUGGGGUAGUAAGGGAACUUUUCAAAGGGCUCGGCUUCUUUGUCUAUAACUUCAUUUCUUUAACUGGCUUUAAUCGGUUCAAGGCACGUGUGGGAAGGCUGAGGUCUGCCAGAAAGAACAUCUGAGAAUAGAACACUAUUUUUCAUGGAUAGUUAGUUGUUCGUGGGAGACAACAGGGGCAGGUGGUCCGCGGAAAGAACAUAGCUAUGGCCUGGCUCUAAGGAGCAGACAUAGAAGAGGGACCGAGUCCUCCAGGGCCGUUGCUGAGCCAUCAGUGAGUCUAACACCUAGCAAGAUCGAGGAAAGGAUUUGAACCUUUUGGGGGAGGGGCGCCCUUUCCAUAUGUGCACCGGGACAGGAGUUUGGGUGGAAAUUAGAAAAGGCUAUAUCGGUCCCUUGGAAGCGGAUGCAGCGUCACGGGCACCGCAGAGGGCGGCAAACAGUCUUGGCUUCACAUCCAAGUAAGAGCAUCUCCUUUGGGGGACAGCAGGGAGCCCAGUCAAUGCGGGAUUGUGAGUACACAGGCUAGCAUUUCGGGCUCCUCAGCUGGGUAAGCUCGGACCUAGAUCUGCAGAGAAAGAGAAAUGGAGCGCAGAGCAGAGGCAACCGUGGUCGGAAGAAAAGGGUUCACGAGAAGAACGCGGGGACGCAGCGGUCGUGGCCCUUACCUUGCUGACCACGUUCUGGACGAGGCCAGUGCGGAUGCCGUAGUCCCAAGCGUGGCAGUCGCAAUUUGAAUCGUUGUUCCCCUUGCCUGGAGGGGACGGGAGGGGUGGUGUGUCGCUGUUGUUGCUUCGGUUGCUCGCGGUCCCCCAGGUAGCAGUGGAGAAAGGGGUGACCGGGGGGCUGGUCCAAUUGCCCAUGUCGCCCCACCGGCCGGUGACAGUGGCACCCGCUAGUUCGGUGCCUUUGCCGGCCCCGCGGCACCAGAAGUUGGGCUGGUCCAGGAGGAA